rnacentral:rRNA from 1 species
GACGAACGCUGGCGGCGUGCUUAACACAUGCAAGUCGAACGGAAAGGCCCUGCUUUUGUGGGGUGCUCGAGUGGCGAACGGGUGAGUAACACGUGAGUAACCUGCCCUUGACUUUGGGAUAACUUCAGGAAACUGGGGCUAAUACCGGAUAGGAGCUCCUGCUGCAUGGUGGGGGUUGGAAAGUUUCGGCGGUUGGGGAUGGACUCGCGGCUUAUCAGCUUGUUGGUGGGGUAGUGGCUUUCCAAGGCUUUGACGGGUAGCCGGCCUGAGAGGGUGACCGGCCACAUUGGGACUGAGAUACGGCCCAGACUCCUACGGGAGGCAGCAGUGGGGAAUAUUGCACAAUGGGCGGAAGCCUGAUGCAGCAACGCCGCGUGCGGGAUGAAGGCCUUCGGGUUGUAAACCGCUUUCGCCUGUGACGAAGCGUGAGUGACGGUAAUGGGUAAAGAAGCACCGGCUAACUACGUG